rnacentral:rRNA from 1 species
CCCCAGGUCAGGCGGGGCUACCCGCUGAAUUU